GGCAGGAUGAGACGCAUAAUAUGUUGGAAAAAUAAAAAAACACCCACUGCUGCUGGAACCGCAUUUUAGCGUGAUGGAAUUUUUUUUUCCCAUUAAAGAUCUACAUUAAGGACAUAAAUGAGCACCUCACUUAACCUAGAGGUUUUAUAAAGCCCAAAUUAGACUAAGCACUUUUAGAAAGCGUUAACUUGUUAGCAACCGGAUUCUAAAUUCACCGUCCAGUUUGUGCCCUGUUAAAGAAACAAAGGAAGUAUGACUAAACUGAAGCUGAAUUUGUGUACACUUCACUGUUUGGACUUCUUUUUUUGUUUAUAUGAAUAAAUUGCUGUUGUUGGCGCCUUAACAGU